GUUGGGUUGGUCUAGCGGUAGGACGUUUCCUUCACACGGAAAAGAUCGCGGGUUCGAUCCCCGCACUCAAUA